UUCUUACCAAGAACUCCUUAACUUGAGGGUGAACAACUUAAAGCUUGAUCCUACAGUUACCUGAAAAGUGAUUUGAGUAUUCAUUGAACUGAAAGAACAAAUCGCCUACUUCAGGCGGUGGCAAGCGUAUGGAAAUUAUAUUAGAACUUCAGCAAAGUGCACAGCUGCAUAAUAGAGAAGCCGGCACUCAGAUUGACAGGCAAAUAAGCCAGCUUGUGGAAGGGGCCUCUGGGUGGCAGCUCUGGGCUUUUGGGUGUUGGACAACCAUAGGCAAAACUGAAAUGGAACAGGGGCAGAAAAUAGCACACUUUUACUCUACGCAACUGUUGCUUUUUCAUGGAGCUCUUUCUGAGAUGAAGAGAAUUCUCAAUGUCAAGAUUUGAACAAGAAGAGAAUGGAAUACACAAUAUGGACAUCCAUAAAAAUUCAUCAGAGAGCAUUUUACUACUGAGCUGCAAAGGGAAAAACUUAAAAUGGAUAUGAAAAGUGAAGAAAGUGAUCAUAGGAGAAAACCAUUUCAGAUGACAAGAGCACCUCAAAGGCAGCAGCCUCAAGGAGCAGCCAUGGCCCCAGACUUGUCGCACGGAUGCAGAAAACUUAAUGGAGGAGGCUGAGGUCAGAAUGGGAAGAGUUUUUAAAAAAUAAAAAGGGGAGCUAAUAUGUGAGGAACUGAUUGCUGUGCAUUAUUUUCCACUGAACAGACCUUCUUUUAACUUCUAAUCUCAAGCACAUAGCAGCUGUUGUUUUCAUAUUAAAGAUCAGUAAGUGUUUGUUGAA
rnacentral:lncRNA from 1 species